ensembl:lncRNA
GGACACUACGCCUAACAUUUCUAAACAUCAUUUGCGUCAGUAAAUGACGUUUAGAAAACACGACCGGAUUGCAUUGUGGUAUACGGGAGUAACUUGUAGGGAACAUCGUAUUUUCACUCAAAUUUUUAUAUAGUGAAUGAAAUUAACCACUGAGAAUUCGAACACCACUACAAAAUGGAGAGCACCCUAUAUAGUGUACUAUAACCGUGAUAGGGAACAAUUUCGAACACAGCUCAAAUCUGCACUACUCAUUUCGAAGUGAAACAAAAUUCACAUUCAAGCGAGCAAUAUCUUGGUAACAUGGUGCCAUUUCAUCAUAUUAGUUCACAGUCAAAUCAUUGUUUAAAAUAAAUUAAACAUACCGUCUUCCAUGUGAGCUGCCAGUCUCCACAGUGUUCUCUCUCCCGCUCCUGAGUGUCUCUGCGUUAGGCACUGUCCCCUCCUCAUACCCCCUCAGUCAUAAUGGAACACCCAUUUUAUCCAGAAAGUGCGUUUCUUAAGUCACGUUUGCCCUUCAACCCCAUCCUCAGCGUCUCUCCCGCCGCACCCAAGGGACAUCUUCUCUCCUCUUCUGUACUCGCCAGGUCUCCUUGGAGGAACAACAGCAUGUCUACAUGUGCUGGGAGGAGAUGAGUGGGGAGCCUACUGACCAAAACACCUGCAGCGGAAAAAACCCGCUCAGCAGGGACAGGUGUGGCCGGGAUAGAGAGGGGCUGGGCCGGUAUUAGCCAGCAGGCAGAUGUACUCUGUCAUGGUGGCGACGUCUCCCUGAGCUUCCUGCUGAGUCCGUCCCUGGGACUCUCUUUGACAGGGAAAGAAGAAUUGAGCACGUGAUCAAAGAAGGGGAAGAGAAGAAGACUAAUAUGUUAGAUUGAAGGAGCUCUUGUGGCGUAGGAGAAGUGGUUGUGCUAAAGGUUGACCCAGGAAGCCCUGAAGGAUUAACCGUGAUUAAUAGUUAUAUAAAUUUACCGAGCACGAGGAGAUAAAAGGUCUGUUUCCUGUUUUUUUCUUGCUGGAGGAUGAAGAGGAUUAGUUGAAGGGAAUGUCUGUUGCAACCCACUGUGAAUAAUAAUUGGGUUAUUUGACAUAGUUAUUUUUACAUAACCUUAUAAUGUGUCUGUCAUAUAUUAUAUGCCCGUUUAAUCUGAUGGUCGUCUGAUACCAGGAACGUUAAUGGCAUAGUCUGCCAAUUUAGUGACUUUAGUGGCCUGUUAAGUUUAUAUUGGCGCAAUACUACUUGUACUUUAUUUUCAAAAACUAAUAAUAUUAAUAUAACUAAUCAUUUGCCAAAUUUAAUUGUGUUUUUGUUGUUUUGGCUACUGUUACUAGCAUUUCUAAAUCCCAAGAGAGCAGUUGUUUUCCAACUUACAAAGACAAUUUCCUUGUGUGGGAAGGAACUGUGGCAAUAAAUCAGAAUCUGAUUGUUUCUGAAUUAACAUUCACAUAGCCUGUCUUUAUACGAUUGUUAUAACAGCGUAUUAAAGCAUCUUCAAUAGCAUUGUUUCUCAACAGGGGCGUUCGCACAACCAA